GACGUAGGUGGCGAACGUUAUCCGGAAUUAUUGGGCGUAAAGGGCGCGUAGGCGGCAUGAUAAGUUAUUGGCGGCAAAUCGAGGCUCAACCUCGUGGAAACUAAUAAUACUGUCUUGCUUGAGUGCAGAAGAGGUUAACGGAACUCCAUGUGGAGCGGUAAAAUGUGUAGAUAUAUGGAAGAACAUCAAUAACGGCGAAGGCAGUUAACUAUUCUGUUACUGACGUUGAGGCACGAAAGCGUGGGGAGCAAAAAGG
rnacentral:rRNA from 1 species